rnacentral:rRNA from 1 species
CGUGUAGGCGGGACAGCAAGUCGGGUGUGAAAGCCCUGGGCUCAACCCAGGAAGUGCAUUCGAUACUACUGUUCUUGAGUAUGACAGGGGAAAGCGGAAUUCCCGGUGUAGCGGUGAAAUGCGUAGAUAUCGGGAAGAACACCUGUGGCGAAGGCGGCUUUCUGGGUCACAACUGACGCUGAGGCGCGAAAGCUAGGGGAGCAACG